CUGUUCACAGCCCUGUGAUAAAUGCGUGAAAUUAAAAGCAGAAUUCAAAAAGUUCAGUACAGCUAACAAAAAUAUAUCUUGCACGUAAAUCAGAAUUCGAAAACUCGAAAAUCGACAAGGUAUCUAUAUAUGUGGUAUAUUAUUCGCGUAUCAUCAACCACCUGUCGCGUAUUUAUAUGUUCAACAACACGUAUACAUAUAUACAUACGCAGUACGUACGUACGUACAUACGUACGCUUAUAUAUACGUACAGCAAUGAUACGCAUAUCAUUGGUUAAAAAUUACUGUCAUACUGACUCGUUUAAACGCAAAGGGACGCUCGAUUUGACUCUCGCGGAAAAAGGGCGCCUGCCACUGCUUGACGAUAAAGCUGCGGACAAAGCCUGCAAGUGACAUCAGCAGUCAAAAUAAAGGAAAGGUAUUGUUGAAUAAAAAUUUAUUAUAUCAUCCUCGGAAUAAUUUUAAACAUACGAUGCAAAGUAUUCCUGAAACUUAACGAUUAAGGAAAUAAUCUUGUAAAAAAUUUUAUUUGUAAAAACCUGGAACAAAUGCAACGUGACCUUCAAAACUUUUAUAUGAUGUAUUAAUCAGAAAAUUUCAUUAUAAUCUUGCACAAUCUCUACAUUUAGCAGGGUUGCUCCCCAUGAAAGUGUUACUUUUGUGCCUGCUAAUCUCUGUGUAAGUAUAAAAUGUAUCUGUAAUAGGUUCAACAGAUCUGACAUAAUAGAAAACUAAUGGGUACACAACUAACCAAAAUAGUGUAUACUAAAAGAAAAGCUAUAGAAGUAUAUUUAAAAAUAUUUAUUGGGUAUUAUAACAAUAAAAAAGUGUUCAAACAAAAUAUUAAAAAUAA